rnacentral:lncRNA from 1 species
ACGGGUCCUAAUGCUAGUUUCUACCCUAUCCCCUUAUACUGGGGAUGCACGGUUCCAAUAUGUCCUACCUCAGAGACUUCACCAUGUUUAGGAAAACGGUCAAGGGAUCAUCAAACUGAGGGAGGAAUCAAUAAUACUACAACAACAACUACUACAAGAGCAAGAUUGGUUACAGAAUCACUUAGAACGAAUAGCGAAGCUACCAAGAGCUCGGUGUGGUCUAAGUUACCAACAAAACCCGAGAAGAAAACACAUGGAUUCAGUUUGUUCAAUGGAUUUGACACAAAGGGUAACAGCAACACAAGAAACCUGGUCCCUGAAACUUCUCACAGUCUACAAGCAAACCCUGCAGCGAUGUCUAGAGCUAUGAACUUCAGGGAGAGCAUGCAACAUUAAUCAGAACAAUGAUAUAGCCAUACACUCAUGAACGUAACUGAGAAAGUUGAGUUUAGCUAAUUGUUACCUUGUGGAAGAAGGAAUCACUGUAUAGAUAUUUUGUUGUUUCGAACUAAGAGUAGAUAUAUAGUAUUUUACUGUUGUACACUAAGAGAAAUACUUUUUUUGGAGUUGUAGAUAUUUCUCUCCAUUGUGGUAAUGAAGUUGCAACAUAUAUAAACCUUUUAGGUUUAAUAUCUACGUGAUCUAUCUGAAACUUACAAUUACAUUUUUGCCCUGAUCCCAAGAGAUAAAUAAAUAUUCUCAAUUCCAAUUAUCAUCUCUGGUAAAUGCAUGAAUGUCAGAAGAGCAUGAUGUUUCAGAUUAUUUAGC